rnacentral:rRNA from 1 species
CCUACGGGUGGCUGCAGUGGGGAAUAUUGGACAAUGGGCGAAAGCCUGAUCCAGCCAUGCCGCGUGUGUGAAGAAGGCCUUCGGGUUGUAAAGCACUUUCAGUGGGGAAGAAAGCCUUGGGGCUAAUACCCUCGAGGAAGGACAUCACCCACAGAAGAAGCACCGGCUAACUCCGUGCCAGCAGCCGCGGUAAUACGGAGGGUGCGAGCGUUAAUCGGAAUUACUGGGCGUAAAGCGCGCGUAGGCGGUCUGAUAAGCCGGUUGUGAAAGCCCCGGGCUCAACCUGGGAACGGCAUCCGGAACUGUCAGGCUAGAGUGCAGGAGAGGAAGGUAGAAUUCCCGGUGUAGCGGUGAAAUGCGUAGAGAUCGGGAGGAAUACCAGUGGCGAAGGCGGCCUUCUGGACUGACACUGACGCUGAGGUGCGAAAGCGUGGGUAGCGAACAGGAUUAGAUACCCGGGUAGUC